GACGUAGGGCGCGAGCGUUGUCCGGAUUUAUUGGGCGUAAAGAGCUCGUAGGCGGCUUGUCACGUCGACUGUGAAAACCCGAGGCUCAACCUCGGGCCUGCAGUCGAUACGGGCAGGCUAGAGUUCGGUAGGGGAGACUGGAAUUCCUGGCGUAGCGGUGAAAUGCGCAGAUAUCAGGAGGAACACCGGUGGCGAAGGCGGGUCUCUGGGCCGAUAUUGACGCUGAGGAGCGAAAGCGUGGGGAGCGAACAGG
rnacentral:rRNA from 1 species